rnacentral:rRNA from 1 species
GACGAACCGUGCGAACGUUGUUCGGAAUCACUGGGCUUAAAGGGCGCGUAGGCGGGUGACCAAGUCAGGGGUGAAAUCUUUCGGCCCAACCGGAAAAGUGCCUCUGAUACUGGUCGUCUUGAGGGAGGUAGGGGUCGAGGGAACUGGUGGUGGAGCGGUGAAAUGCUUAGAUAUGACAUAGAACACCCAUUGCGAAGGCAGCUCGCUACACUAUUAUUGACACUGAGGCACGAAAGCGUGGGGAUCAAACAGG